UAAACUCCUGUUGUUGAGGAAGAUAAUGACGGUACUCAACAAGGAAGUGACGGCUAACUACGUGCCAGCAGCCGCGGUAAAACGUAGGUCACAAGCGUUGUCCGGAAUUACUGGGUGUAAAGGGAGCGCAGGCGGGAARACAAGUUGGAAGUGAAAUCCAUGGGCUCAACCCAUGAACUGCUUUCAAAACUGUUUUUCUUGAGUAGUGCAGAGGUAGGCGGAAUUCCCGGUGUAGCGGUGGAAUGCGUAGAUAUCGGGAGGAACACCAGUGGCGAAGGCGGCCUACUGGGCACCAACUGACGCUGAGGCUCGAAAGUGUGGGUAGCAAACAGGAUUAGAUACCCUGGUAGUCCACACCGUAAACGAUGAUUACUAGGUGUUGGARGAUUGACCCUUUCAGUGCCGCAGUUAACACAAUAAGUAAUCCACCUGGGGAGUACGACCGCAAGGUUGAAACUCAAAGGAAUUGACGGGGGCCCGCACAAGCAGUGGAGUAUGUGGUUUAAUUCGACGCAACGCGAAGAACCUUACCAAGUCUUGACAUCCCUUGACGAUGCUGGAAACAGUAUUUUUCUUCGGAGCAAGGAGACAGGUGGUGCAUGGUUGUCGUCAGCUCGUGUCGUGAGAUGUUGGGUUAAGUCCCGCAACGAGCGCAACCCUUAUGGUCAGUUACUACGCAAGAGGACUCUGGCCAGACUGCCGUUGACAAA
rnacentral:rRNA from 1 species